AUGGCAAACCUGAGCUGGCAAAGGGAGUUGUUGGACUUUGUGGCAGACAAAGGAAAGCUGAAAAUAUUUUUCCUUUGGAGGAGGAGAAAGAAGAAGCCAAGAGGAGUGCCUCUGAGUCAUAGAAACGAUUCCUUGUUAAGCUUAAAGGCAUAUAUAUCUUUCCUAACUAGAGUGGAACAUGCCCUGUUCCCUUAUUAUGGUAUCAGCUUUCUUCUUUUCUCUGCAUCAGUAGCAGCUGCCAGGGUGCCCUCUUUUGUGAGCUGACUGCUACUUGGUCCCACUGCCUUAAUUUCUUUCUUGUCACCAUCCAUAAAGACAUCAGAGCAUCAUCUGAACUUGGAAGCUAUCUUGGAUAGAGACUGCCAAUGAACAUCAAGUGUUGUAGGCUAUGUUGCAGAGGAAGCAACCGGCAAAACCACCUCUGAAUAUUUCUUGCCUAAGAAAAACCAUAGCAAAUCCAUGGCGUCACCAUAUAUUGAAAAUAUGACUUGAAGCUACAAACACCAUCUUUACAAUGCAAUAAUGCAGAAUGGUUCAGUGACCUAGUCCUAGUAGAGGUAAAAUUGUUUCAAUCUUACAUUUUUCCAAAUGGGCUUGAUAUGAUCAGUUUUAUCCAUUAAUAUUUUGUUUCAAGUUAGUAUGAACCCAACAACAGCAUUUAACAAUCAGUUCCUUUAUCUCACAUACAGAUAGAACUUUAUGCCCAGGUAGUAGAGAAGAGCUAUAGAAGCUAAUCCUUUUAAUAGAAAGAACCGAAUUCGCUGACCAUUGGGUUUUGUGAUCUGCCUGCUCUUUUUCAUGAAGUUUAUUUGUUUUGGCUGGAGCCCAGUUUUUCAGUUAUAAUUUUGUAUUCUACAAUUAGGAAUCCAUAACUGCCUUGUGUUGAAUAAGAUCAUGGGUUAAACUAGCCCAGAAUCCGGGCUUCACUUUGAAUCCAUCAAAGCCUGUCUCCAUGACACACAGGAACUUCGGGUGAAUAACCCAGGUUUUCUGGUUUUGAUUCGACUGCUUUAGACAAAAUUGCAAAAUAUUUCAGGGCUGAAAAGCAAUCUGGAUAGUUGGACUGGAUGCGUUUUGGCCAGAUCCCAUGUCCAAAUGGACACUGUCACCAUAACCCUUUCUUUGAGCUGAUCUGCAGAAAGGAAGAGGAUGGUUCACCCCUGCAUCACUGUAAUGGCUUCCUACUGGCCUCAGAGUUCACCGAAGAAUACCUCCCCAUCAUAGUCAUAU
rnacentral:lncRNA from 1 species